CAUGUCAGCAGUCAGAAUAUCAUUCACGCUGACUAUACAUCUUUGAUUUGAAACAUAUUGUUUGUUUUUUUAUGUGGAGAUAAGCAACACAAAUGAAGAAAUAGAGUGUAUAGAGUGUGUGUAUGCAUGCGUGUGUGUACGUAUACAUAAAUAUGGAUACAUUCACAUGAGACCCGAGUAUAAUAAUAAUAAUAUAUAAUAAAAAAUAGUUCUUUUCAGAAAUAAUAAAAUAAUGUUAUUAGUAUAUUUCUGGGUCAUUUUUAGCACAGCUCAAAUUCUGCUUAUCUUUUUCUGCUUCUAGUCAUGUUUCUUUUUUUUUUUUUUUCUUCUUCUUCUUUAAAAAAAAUAAAAUUAUCCUGAUGCAAGCAAACAUAUAAUAGUGAAUGGACUCUCUGGGAGUGCCGGCAAGCCCACUUUUGACAGCAUGAACUCUUAAGGAAGGAACAAAAGUGUGAACAGACCCAAAACUGUCAGAGAGGGCCUUUGCCCCAAAAGGUUUCUGGGGGAUGUUGACAACCAGUGAGAUUGAACAGUAAGUGGGAAACUACAGGGAGAGUUUUGAAACAAAGGAGGAGUUUGCUUGAACACAAGUAUAAAACAAGCAUGAAAAUUCAUAAUGGUGUGGAGAGACCACAUUGGAUUGGAGGCAGCAGCAGUGAAAAUCUGUUUUGAUGCUGCCUGAAGUCACUUUCCAAACUCUGCCCGGGUCAAAGCAACCACUCUGAUGGACACUGCAAGAAGCCCACAUGUGGUUGGGACUGAUGACUUGGUGGGUAACACCUGGGACCCACACAUCAGGAGAAUGUGUGUGUGAGUUCAAAUGGUGCUUUCUCAUGAAUUAGUGGGUUAAGAGGAGAAAUGUAUAUGCUUGCAAAGUCGAAGCAACUGUUUCCAACCAGAGCUGUGUGGAAAUGCAGAUACCUGUGUUUCCAUGAGAAAUGGGAGGACGCUUGUAAGCUACAUCUAUGUCAAAAGUGCAAUAACCACCAGUGCUGUCCAGGGUAG
rnacentral:lncRNA from 1 species